CAAAACAAACACACACACACACACACACACACAGAUGUCAAGCUACAUUAGAGCCAAAGUCACAGAGGCAUCUGAAACGCAAACAACGGCAGGCCUGUCAGAGUCCUGUAAAAGACAGGCUUUAGUGCUCUGGCUGCGCCCGCAUGGAGUAAAACACAGGCUGAAGAAUGAAAUGGUUAACUCCUAAACUGUUUUUACUGAAAGGUACCUUCACUUGUGUUUAUCAGAGCCUGACUGAGGAAGUGUUCAGGGGUUGAGUGACAGAGGAGUCACCACAGCAACAAGCUUUCCAGCCCACCCUGUCAAGCGCCCCCAUCCGAGGAACACGAUGACCUUUUGUUUCGGCACAACCCAGUUGGGUGGGUUAUCUUCCAGGCAAGAUUCCACCAAUAUUUUUUACAUAAUGACCAGAUUCAUCUCCUCCCUUCUGCAGAAUCUAAUGUAAUCCAUGGGGAGCUUUUUAAUGAUGUUUUCUGUUGUUGUCAUGUUUUUCUUCUUUGAACUGGAUCAAAUGACGAGUCAUUCUUCAGGCCAUGGUCAAGUGAAAAUCUUGGACACCAGCAGUCCAGCAUCUGGCCUCUUCUCAUACAGGAAUGCAACCGAAACACCCAGAAAUCUGAAACAACCAGAGACUUUGUUGAAAAACCGUCCUAACGUUUAAUUAUCCUGCCUUGUUGUGUUGCCGUGUUUUUGUUUUACCCAGACCAGGAAAUUAUUAACAGAUCCACUGCCGCCCUGCCUCAGGUUUUAAUAUGCCGUGGCUCAACUUUCAGGCAUUUUCUCCAAACGUUUACUCUGCUGUCACAGGUCCUGCACUCCUCUAAAGACUUUUGAACCGAAGCAGUCACCGUCUCAAAUGGCCGUGCACCAGUGGUUUGGUGAAUCAAACCGUUUUACUCAAGCAAAUGUUACAAUCAUAAAAGUCUGGUAAAUAUUAUGAGUUAAAAUAAAAGUCCUCUGGGGAGUAUGGCAGACUGACACUGCCCAGUUAAUUAAUUUAAGAAGUAACUAGAACUAAAA